CGCUGGCGGCGUGCCUAACACAUGCAAGUCGAACGAAGCAUGAUUGAAGGAGACUUCGGUCAAUGGAUAUCAUGACUUAGUGGCGGACGGGUGAGUAAUACAUGAGCAACCUGCCUUUCAGAGGGGGACAACAGCUGGAAACGGCUGCUAAUACCGCAUAACGUACGGAAGGGGCAUCCCUUUUGUACCAAAGGAGCAAUCCGCUGAAAGAUGGGCUCAUGACUGAUUAGUUAGUUGGCAGGGCAACGGCCUACCAAGACUGCGAUCAGUAGCCGGACUGAGAGGUUGAACGGCCACAUUGGGACUGAGAUACGGCCCAGACUCCUACGGGAGGCAGCAGUGGGGAAUAUUGGGCAAUGGGCGAAAGCCUGACCCAGCAACGCCGCGUGAAGGAAGAAGGUCUUCGGAUUGUAAACUUCUUUUAUGAGGGACGAAGGACGUGACGGUACCUCAUGAAUAAGCCACGGCUAACUACGUGCCAGCAGCCGCGGUAAUACGUAGGUGGCGAGCGUUAUCCGGAUUUACUGGGUGUAAAGGGCGCGUANGCGGAUCAGCAAGUCAGAUGUGAAAUCCAUGGGCUUAACUCAUGAACUGCAUUUGAAACUGUUGGUCUUGA
rnacentral:rRNA from 1 species